AGGGCGACACUUUUUUUGCUAUACUUUGUAUACCAAACUUGAAUUUUUAUAUAAAUUGGCAAAAUUGUACGUCAAAAUGAAAAAAUUUAAACGUCGGAAACGUCGUAAUUGUCAAAUUUUGACUCGAACAAUUAUUUCCUAACCGCCAUAUUAUAUUGCAACCACCGAGUAACCACGCCCGGAAUUUUGGAUUUUUAGUUUUUUCUGCAUAUAUAUUUUCUGAGCCCUAAUACUUUAUUGUGAGAAUAUUAUUCGUCGCUUCUAGGGAUUUACCAUGGAAAAUACAGUGAAACGUAAUGUGAGAUAUCAAAAAUGUCCUAUUUGUGGUCUAAAGAGGACCCCUGGACUGGAGCCAAUGUAUUUUUGAAGAAGUUUCCACUUGAUCCAGAUCGGUGUCGUUCUUGGGUCAAAGCAGUUGGGAAUGAAGACUGCUUACAUACCCGUUAAAAAAUUGCAUGAAAUUAAAUAUUUGUGUGGAUAUCACUUUGAAAAAAAGUAUUUUAAUACAAAGGGCAAUAGAUUAAUUAAAAAUGCUAUUCCAAAAUUAAAUUUGCCACAACCAUUGGAUGACAGUCUCUUGGUAGAUUUUCCUUUAUAUGGUGAAGGAAAAGAAAAAUCUCAAGUCUUGAAAGGUGCAAAUUUUUUUUAUAUUUUUAUGAUAAUUAUAAAUUACAUUACAAUUAUUU